rnacentral:rRNA from 1 species
AUUGAACGCUAGCGGGAUGCCUUACACAUGCAAGUCGAACGGAGUGGCGAACGGGAGAGUAAUGUAUCGGAACGUGCCAAGUAGCGGGGGAUAAAUACGCGAAAGCGUAGCUAAUACCGCAUACGAUUGGAGCGGCAGAUAGCGGAUGAGCUAGUUGGUGGGGUAAAGGCUAACCAAGGCGACGAUCCGUAGCUGGUUUGCGCGGACGACCAGCCACACUGGUACUGAGACACGGCCCAGACUCCUACGGGAGGCAGCAGUGGGGAAUGUUGGACAAUGGGGGAACCCCUGAUCCAGCCAGCCCGCGUGUGCGUUGAAGUCCUUCGGGUUGUAAAUCACUUUUGGCAGGAAAGCGGUACCUGCAGAAUAAGCACCGGCUAACUACGUGCCAGCAGCCGCGGUAAUAC